rnacentral:rRNA from 1 species
GACGAACGCUGGCGGCGUGCCUAAUACAUGCAAGUUGAGCGAUGAAGAUUGGUGCUUGCACCAAUUUGAAGAGCAGCGAACGGGUGAGUAACGCGUGGGGAAUCUGCCUUUGAGCGGGGGACAACAUUUGGAAACGAAUGCUAAUACCGCAUAACAACUUUAAACAUAAGUUUUAAGUUUGAAAGAUGCAAUUGCAUCACUCAAAGAUGAUCCCGCGUUGUAUUAGCUAGUUGGUGAGGUAAAGGCUCACCAAGGCGAUGAUACAUAGCCGACCUGAGAGGGUGAUCGGCCACAUUGGGACUGAGACACGGCCCAAACUCCUACGGGAGGCAGCAGUAGGGAAUCUUCGGCAAUGGACGAAAGUCUGGCCGAGCAACGCCGCGUGAGUGAAGAAGGUUUUCGGAUCGUAAAACUCUGUUGGUAGAGAAGAACGUUGGUGUGAGUGGAAAGCUCAUCAAGUGACGGUAACUACCCAGAAAGGGACGGCUAACUACGUG